GUGCUCGCUUUGGCAGCACAUAUACUAAAAUUGGAACAAUACAGUGAAGAUCAGCAUGGCCUCUGCGCAAGGAUGACAAGCAAAUUUGUGAACUGUUCCAUAUGUUU
ensembl:snRNA U6 U6 spliceosomal RNA